GCCUGAUUUGUGCAUAAUACCAUAUAAGCUAAAUCAAAUUACCCUUCUUAAAUAUAUUGACAUGUCUCACCUUCAACCAUUUUUGCAGUUACUCCUGCUAUUGAUUUAUUCAUUUGAACAAAAUUGGUUGAACAUUUCGUGGGUAGAGAACAUUGGGCUAAGCACUGGGAUAAAAAAAAAAAAUGUGAAUGCAAAGACCUCAUAACAAAGUCAGGUAAUAGACACACCAACCAUUGAGUAAAAUACAUUGUCAAAACAUAUAAUAAGAGUCUCGUUGUCUUUAUUUUCCCUCCCUGUCUUUCAGUUCACACAUCCUCUUUCAGCUCUGUGAAAUGCUGUUUACCAUCAUUCAUCAUUGGACUCAUUCUAACUCAUACUUGGAAACUCUGCUUGGAUGAAAUCUUCCCUAGGCAGCUUUUAUUCCUCUUUCCAAAGUCAGGGUGGAACAGGGGUACCGCCAUAAGAUCUUGUUACACGCCAUAGCGCUAAUCAAAUUAGUUUUAUUGUGUGUCUAUCUUCCCACCAGACUAAAUUUCUUAAUGGAGACGGCUACACUUCCUUGAGUUUCCUCAGCUAAGCCUGACCAUAGACAAUGCUUAAGGGUGGAUAAGUGCAUUACAAGGAACAAGACGUCUGAAAGCUCUCACCAAAAAACUACUCGAAGAAAGAAGAAAUGUUAUAAAAUAGCUAGUUGGACUUUUGAUUGGAAUUAUGACUCUGGAGGGAUAACAAUGAACAAGACUAGUAAGAUCCUUGACCUCUGAAGCUACAUUUUAUUAGCAGAGUGAAGCAAUAAAAAACAAACAAAAAAUAAAAUGAACAAAGAAAGAAGAUAUUGGACACUGAGAAAUGCAGUGAAGAAAAUAAGCCAGGGUAAAGUGAUAGACAAUUGCUUGGGAAUGGGAAAGACAGUGUUUGAUAGCAAGAGCAGUGUGAAAGUGACAGCUGAGUUGAAACUCGAGUGAAGAGAAGGACCCAGCCCCGUGAAAAUCAGGAUGGAGAAUCAUCCAUGCAGAGAGGAGAGAAAGUGUAGUGUCUCUGAGAUGGGACAAGCUCUUCAUGAAGCCAGCUUCACCUAAAACAAGAGAGUUGAAGAAUCACAUGCGACGAAAUCAGUGUGGAUAUAUCCUAAGUGUGAUGGGAAGGCGGUAUAAUACGAUGUUAACUAUUAAUUGGAAGUGACUAGAUGGUUGCAAAUAAUGGAGUGACAUGUUCUGAUUAAACUCUAAGAGGUUCUUUUUGACUGUCAUUGGAAAAAAUGGAUUAUUGAGAGACAGUUGUGGAACAUGAGUAGCUACCACCAUAGUCCAAUCAGGAAUGAUGGUGGAAAUUAAAGUGGGGCUUGCAACUGAUGUGAAGAAAAAUGAAGAGGGUCACAUUAUCUUUGGGAGACGAAGUUAUCAGCAUUGGCUGCUGGAUCAGAUACUGGGGAAAGUGAGGGAAAAAGAGGUAUCGGCUGAUUCCUUUGUUGGGGGGUCUUAGUGCCGAGUACUAAGAUGCCUAACACAGCAGAAGGAUCAGGUGUGGAAAUUGAGUGGAAUCAUGAAUACUGUUUUAGAUAUACUAGAUUUGAGACGUAUGCCAUUUAUCCAAAUAUAGAUGUCAGACAAUCACAAUCAUGCUCAUAAUUAUCAUCGAGUACUUAGUACUUGCCAGACACUGUUUUUGAUCCUUUACAUAGAUGAAUUCUUUUCCUAACAAUAAACCAGUGAAGUAGAUAUUAUUCACAACUCCAUAAUACAGAUGAGGAGAUAGGCACAGAAUUAAAUAACUUGCCCACGUUCACACUGUUAGCAUACAUUAGAGAUCAGAUGAGCUCUCAGCCAGUCUAGUUCCCAAGGCCUUGUUUCUAUACCACUAAGCUAUCCCUUUCUGUUUAAAAAGAAAGGAUAAAAAGUAAAUGUGAUAUAAAUGUGUAAGUCAUGGAAGAAAUAGAAAGUGAAUUUGGAGUUGUUAGAAUAUAAAUAGUAAACAGAAAAGAGAAGAUGGUCUGUGACUGAAUCUGGGCACCAAAUACAUAGAAGUCAGUUACAGGAGGAGGAACAAGUAAGGGACAGGAAGAUGGAGCACCAGGGAGGUGGAGGAAAACCAGAGACUGAGUGAUUCCAGAAGCUCAAGGAGUCAAGGUUAUUGAAUGCCGUGAGAUGCUGAGGUAGGUGGCAGUAGACAGUGACCACUGGGUUUGGCAAGAUUGUAGCUGUUGGAAACCUUUACUUAGGAAGUUUUAGUGUGGAGAACAAAAGCCCAACUGAAGUGAGGUGAGGAGAAAAAGGGGCUAUAAGGAGCUGGGACAGUCACUGCAGAAAACUUGCGGAGCUUUGUUCUUCAGGAGGGGAGUGGAGAUGUAGUAUUACCUUUGUGGAGGGCAGGUGGGUCUGUAUCCCUAGGGAUGCUGCAACUAAUUACCACAAACUUUGUGGCUUAAAAAGAAGAAAUGUAUUCCUUCACAUUCCUGGAGGCCAGAAGUGUGAAAUCAAGAAGUCUGCUGUUUUCCCUCCAAAAGUUUUAGGAGAGAACCCUUCCUGGUUUCUUCCAGUUUCUGGUGGCUCCAGGCAUUCUUUGGCUUGUGGUUGCAUAACUCCAGUCUCUGCCCUAGAUUCAACAGACACUUCAAGGACUUCUUUAUAUUUCUCUCCUCUGUGUGUCUCUUAUAAGGAUGCUUGCCAUUGGAUUCAGGGCCUGUGGGGAUAGUCCAAGAUGAUCUCAUCUGGAGAUCAGUAGCUUAAUUACAUCUGCAAAGACUUUUUUCCAAAUAAGAUCACAUUCACAUGUUCUAAAGAUUAGGAUGUGGACACAUCUUUUUGGAGGAAUAUCAUUCAAUCCACUACAGAGGGUAUAAGAUCAAAAGAGGGCCUUUUUUUUUUUUAAGGUGAGAGUGACUAAAGUAUUUUUCUAUGCUGGUAGAAAUUUUCCACUAAGGAGGGAAACAUUUGGGAAAUGGUAGAAAGUGGAGAUAUCACACAUGGGAAAUCAAUGAUGAGGUAAGAAGAUAUAGGAUUCCCAGCCCUGAUGGAAAGAUCUUUUUCUUAAUUCUAGCAGGGACUUAUUGGCUGUGGGUUCAGGUAAGGGAGGAGGUUUGGUAGUAGAAGGAUGAGGGAGUUUGUGUGUGCAUACAUUUAUUUUUCUCCAAUGAAACAAGAAACAAGUUUGUAGAUUCAAGUUAUCAGAAAUAGAGAUAUUUAAAGUUUGAAGACUGAGUGGAUAGUCUGAAAUAUUUUUAACGGAGGACAAUAAAGAGAUCUUCCUAGGAGCAUAGAUUGAGCUUGUCAAGUCCGCUUGAGAACUGUGGUCGUGAAUCAGUAAUUAGACCCGUUAACAUAUUUCUCCAGCAACAGUUAGCUGGUCAAGUGCAGGUGGACGUUAGGAGGAUAUUUGGGUAAACCAAGAUUAUGGUUUUUCCAAGUGGUUAUAUUGGAGGGUGAAAGGGACAAGGGAUAAAUAGUAUUGGCUUAUGAGAGAUUAUAGGUAUUGACCAUGCAAUUUUCACUAGUUAAGGAAUAAAAUUAGGGAAGUGGGCGAUGGAUAGUGAGAACACUGUAAGGACAAUAAUUUGGAGUUCUCAGUUUGGUUGAAGAAUCGCUGGUGUGGGGAUGGUACAAUAAUUCAAUUGAAAAUCUAAAGUUGUGGUCAAUGGGAAAGAUGCUUGAAAUUGAGACUUCUGAGGUACAUGAUUAGGACAAUAUCAGGGAUCUGACCAAGAGAACUGGUGGCUGAAGUUGCUACAAGGUUAUCCAGUUAGCAGAUUAAAAACAUGCUUCCUGCGCGCACAUACACUCGCUCACUCAUAGGCAGGAAUAUGCAAACAAACAAAUAAAUUUGAGAUUAUUUUAUAUUUUAAAUAUUUCUUUCAAAAGGCUAAGAAAAAUCCAAUUUUGCUGGAAUUUUGCUUGUUUUACGGUUGCUUUACAUUUUAAGUUACCUAUGGUUUAGGCACCAUAGUCUUUUCUGGGUAAAGAACUUUUAAAUCUGGCCCCAAAUGAGGUGAGGUGGAAGAAGGUGAUUGGAGGUUAUUGAUCAAAGAACUGAAAGAACUGGGUUUUUGAUAAUGAUCCUGAAAGUCAAUCCGUGUUUCCCAUAGAAAUGCUAGAAUGAAUUUCCAAGAGAGAUCACAGUGGAGUGAUGAAUUCUGAGAUGACUAUCUAAGCCAAGUAUUUAUUAGAGCUGGGUCCUGAGUGGAAUAUUUAAACGUUGAUAUUUGUUAUUUUUUUCUGAGUAUAAAAAGAACUCAGGCACUAAAUAAAAAAUACGACAAAUACAAAAAGGAGCAAAGAGAAUAAAACAUAAUUUGAUAAUAUAUAACUCAUCUGAAAAACACUGUCGCACUUCUUUCGCUCUCUUCCAAUCUUCCUUCAUUUUUCAAAAAUUAUAUCCAACUAUUUAUUCUGUUUAAUAACUUUUUUUACUCAACAAUAUACUGUGUACUUUUUUCCAUGUCAAUAAAUAUUUUUCUAAGACAAGAAUCAUAAUUUAUUUAAAAUGCAUGGGCACAGAGGGAGGGAGUGCAGAGCAAAGCACUCCUUAUUCAAGGGGCAGAAAGAGUGUAACCAAAGGAGCUGAGAGAGGACUUUCCUUCUGGCUAGAAGAGAGAGAGAAGAAGCUGAUCUGGCUUGAAUGGAUAGUUCAUGCUGUAAAAUCUUCCACCUGAGAUAGUAAAGGAGAUAGGAGUCCUCAGAGUUCUUUGAAUAUCAGUCUGAGGAAUUUGAAACUGAUUCUUCUGGCAAAAGGAUUUGUUGAAAGGGAUUUAUUAUGGAAAUAAAUUUGAUUAUAGAUUGCAGCAUGUACAACGGGUUGCAAAGAUUCAACGGACUUUAGAAGCUGUGCACGCACCAUAUGGGCUUAAAACCUUAGCUGUAAUAGUAGCUGCAAGAAUUAAAGACAGCAGUUGGUUCAAGAAACAAUUUGAAGGAAGAAUCACUACAAUCUAGAUGCAGAAAUGUAGUUUAAGAGUUAAAGUUCAGAUCAGAAACAAAGAUGUUGGGAAAAAAGUAAAGUUUACUCAGAAAGAAUAUUUAUAGGGGGGUCCAAGAGUUAGCAGCCCUAGGUUACCAAGUGAAAAAUACAACACACACGCAAUAAAAGACACACACACACAUACAAUUACCAAGAUUACUGAGCUUACACUUAUUCUAUUCUAGGUGGGAAAACAACAAUUUUCUCAGAUGCUUAUUUCAGCUCUCAAAGCUUUGAUGUAUUUUCAGACAUCAGUACUGUAGAAAAUCAGUGAGAAAGUUAUUUGUUGUAAGGAAGAUGGUGACUUGCAGAAAAUAUUCGAGAUUUCAUUUAUUUUAGAGAUUAAAGCAAGAUGGGUCCUGUUUUUGCUAUUUCGUUUGUUCAUCUCACGUGUGUGUGUGUUCUGG
ensembl:lncRNA